CUACUUACCUGGCAGGGGAGACACCAUGAUCAUGAAGGUGGUUCUCCCUGGGUGAGGCUCGGCCAUUGCACUCUAGGCCGUGCUGAUCGUGGUGUCUUCCCUGUCGCUUCUCGGCCUAGGUGUGGUAUCUGUCCUUAUCAGUUGUCUGCGGAGCGCUGAAGCACC